AUAAAGGUCCUUAAAUGUGGAAGAGGGAAUGAGGAGAGAGAACCAGAUUGACGGCGAAGUGAGAAGAACUUGGCUGGAUGUUGCUGGCUUUGAAAAUGGGAGAAUGGGGCCGUGAGGCAAGGAAUAUGGGAGGAGGAGGGGCGGCUCUAGAAGCCAGAAGGGGCGCAGAAAUGGAUUCUCCUCAGAGCCUUCAGAGAGGAAUGCGGCCCUGCUGACAUCUUGACUUUAGCCUAGUGAGACCCGUGGACCUCUGACCUCCAGAACUAUGGGAUAAUAAAUUUGGGUUGUUUUGAGCCAGUAUGCUCACGAUGACUUGUAGUUAGAAAACUAAUACAGGAUGAAAGGGUCUCCUCUUCCGUGUGACCGUUCCCUCCCACAGGGUGGGACGCUAUGGCAGCUGGUGAGACAGAACAUUUAUUGGACAUGUUUCACCAGGGAGUGGAGUUAAUGCAUUAACAGGAAUGUUCCUGAGUAGCGUUGCCUCUUUCUCUGCUGCUCUCUCAUGAUGCAAACACACUUGGACAGGGCUGCCCCUGCCCCUGUCUUCCCUGGGGGGUGUCUGCUGUCUCCCUCUCUGUUUAGGGAUCGGGCCAGGAGGAAGCAGAGGAGGCCCCUUUUGGACUGGCGUCUCGAUUGCAUUCUCCAGCUCGGCUUGCCAGAGAGAUGCCACUAAGUUUCUGCACGGUGUGUUGCUGGCGUUAGCAACUUGAUUCUGGCUCCCGUGUGUUGGGAGGAGACUGUCACCGAGAUGCCUCACCAUCGUCUCUUCUGUUCAAACUGCAUUCUGCCCUGGCUAAGCAAGCCAGAUUCCCGCCCCCGUGCUGCCUGAGCCACUGACUGAAGAUGAUGCUCACGAGCAGCAUGGAUGAGCGGCUCACCCUGCAAGCAGCAGCACCAUCCAGGACCUGCAUGGAGCGUGCACACCAGGUGGCUGUGACUGAGUGCAGGCCCUCCACACAUCUUUCUCUUGUACUUUGAAUCCUCAUUAAAGGUUUUUUUUUUUGCCUCCUCCCCCCGAAAAAAAAAAACUCCCACAAAAAACCAUGCACUAGGUUCUGGGCACAUAAUUGCCUGGAGCCUGAGAAUAUGCUUGUGUUUCUAAGUUUUGUUGGUAUGGAGUUGGUGCCACAGUAUUCUGUACCCUAGUUGCUCUGACUUUGCAAAAGAGGGACCCAGGAGCUACUUGGGGGUGGAGGUGCUGGAGGAAAUGCUCACAUUUCACGGGUGAAAGGCCAGGAUGCAGCCAGUUCCUCUCUCCCAGGCAUAACAGCCUUUUUGCUGACCCCAAGGGAGCGCUCCCCAUGCUAGGGGCUCUGCACCCUCCUCGUCCUCAGGAGGUCUGAGGUCUCACCACAGUCCCUCCUACUGUCACACCUUAGAUGCAGCUCCCUCCAGGCCCGGGAGAGGAUGGAGAUGCAGGUACCUAACCCCUGUCCACACUCUGAAGCUGAAGUUACAGGGAGAGGGUGUGCCUCCCCUUUCCCUUCACAUCCAGUUCACAUCCAGGCCUCAUUCUGCCAAACAGCUGGAGCGACUGAAAGGACGCUCCCCAGCCCGUCCCCGGGCUCACAGAGUUGCCUCAGGUGGGGAGGCCCAGCCAAGCCCUGGCGGCAGGUGGGGGAGAAAUAGAGAACUGACCUUGUGGGAAACAGAUAUUCAUUAGGAAUGGGGAUGUCGAGGCAAAUGGACAAAGCUCGAUUCCUGUGGAGUGAGACCUCCUGCUAAGAUUGAGCAGAAUAAGAAAUUGGGAAGGGACGAAUUUCAGGCUUUCAUUUCCUUGCAUUUUAAUUUAAAAGGAAGUGUAUUUAAAUUUUGUUCUUUGUCACUUUUGAAAUUAGGAGGGGUUUAUGUUCAAAUUUAGGGCAAUUUUUUUGUUGCUGUGGUAUUUGAUGCUGCCAGGUAGUGCUUGUUUUGUAAUCUGCAGGAGGGCCGUACGGGGCAACGCGAUUGAGCUGAUUGGAGAAAGGAAACAGUUUAGGGCACAGACAGUCUUGGAAUUAAUUUGUGUCUUAUUUGGACCCAAUUCGGAGGCUUUUGGGGGGCAACAUUAAACUGGUCACCCCACUGAUUCCAGGAGGCUGUGC
ensembl:lncRNA